UGGCUCAGUAACACGUGGAGAAUCUAACCUUUGGUGGAGGAUAAUCUCGGGAAACUGAGAAUAAUACUCCAUAAACAUAGGAUGCUGGAAUGCUUCUAUGUUGAAAGGCAACGCCAAAAGAUGACUCUGCGACCUAUCAGGCUGUAGUGAGUGUAAUGGACUCACUAACCUGCAACGGGUACGGGUGUUGGAAGACAUUGCCCAGAGAUGGACUCUGAGACAUGAGUCCAGGUUCUACGGAACGCAGCAGGCGCGAAAACUCCGCAAUGUACGAAAGUACGACGGGGGAAUUCUGAGUGCUUACGCCUUGCGUAGGCUGUUUUCUUGUCUAAAAAACAAGGAGAGUAAGGGCUGGGUAAGACGGGUGCCAUCUCGUGCAAUUCUGCACUUAUUGUGUUCGUUGCACGAAGCACAAGCCGCCGCGGUAAUACCCGCGGCCCGAGUGGUGCUCAUUAUUAUUGAGCCUAAAACGUCCGUAGCCGGUUUAAUAAAUUCUUGGGUAAAUCAUAUCGCUUAACGAUAUGAAUUCUGAGAACACUGCCAAACUCGGGAAUGGGAGAGGCCAGAGGUACUUUCAGGGUAGGGGUAAAAUCCCGUAAUCCUGAGAGGACCACCGGUGGCGAAGGCGUCUGGCUAGAACAUAUUCGACGGUAAGGGACGAAGCCCUGGGGCGCAAACGGGAUUAGAUACCCCGGUAGUCCAGGGUGUAAACGCUGUAGAUUUGGUGUUGGAAAUCCUACGGGGAUUCCCAGUGCCGGAGAGAAGUUGUUAAAUCUACUGCUUGGGGAGUACGGUCGCAAGACUGAAACUUAAAGGAAUUGGCGGGGGAGCACCGCAACGGGUGGAGCGUGCGGUUUAAUUGGAUUCA
rnacentral:rRNA from 1 species